UUUCAUUAAAUAUUUUAAAGAAGAAGCGGUUUAAAAAUAAAGAGGUUUAAUUAUUUGAGUGAGAUGCAGGCACUCAGCCUUAAAUGACAUAAAAAGGCAUCUGUGUUGAUACUAGGAGAAGGAUUUAACCCUAGAAAAGGCUUUAGUUGGACCUACUAAGGAUUACUGAAUUAUCCUUGUAAGCAUUAUUGACUGAAUGUAAGCUUUAUAUCCGUCAGUAAGCACAAAGCAUUAAGGUUAUGAUUAUGCCACACCUUCACACUGGCAACAGCAGGAAGUGAACCCCCAUGGCCUGAAGCCAGUUUUGCGAGUACAUGCACAUUCGCGAUAUGAAGGAGAAGGGCAAUACAGUUAUCUUCGUCUCUCAGCUGAGUACCAUGUGCACAACUCUGCAUGCUGUCAUUGUAGUCAUGUGCAUAUCCACCAUUAUUUUGAGUGAUGCGACCACCAUAACUCAGAAAAAGGCUGUUGUGCGGAGGGAAGGAGACAGCGUUCACAUAAAGUGUGAACAGGAUGGCACAGACCAACAAAUGUACUGGUACAGGCAGGGCCAUCAAAACGGCCUGGAGCUUAUCUUCUUCUCACGGAUGGAGGGUGUGGACACAGAGAAGCUUGUGGUUGAGGACAGAUUCACAGCCACCAGAGAGAACAGACAGCGUUUCCAUCUAAACGGAACCAAGCUGCAACCUCAAGACUCAGCUGUGUACUUCUGUGCCUCCAGUUUACACAGUGCCCAAAAGUAAUGUGUUGCCAAUGCCAAAACCAUCGGAGAUCUGGCCACUAGAGGCCAGUAUCACUGAAGUCAUUGCACUAAUGUAUACCCUUUGUAUUUAUUUGUUUACUUGUUCCAUUUACUCUAGAUAAGAUGAAUGCAUGACUCUACAUAUAUUUACAUUCUGCUUUAGUAUGCCUUGAAGUCAGAACACAAUGUGUUUUAGUGGGAAAAAGCAGAAUAUAAUAUAAGACAGGAAAACAACUUUAACAGCUGUUUUUGCACUGACCUAAAAAGAAGGCAUCGCCAAUUUACAGAAAUACCUUUCCUCCUGCAAAACCAGCCUUGAUAAGCUAUGCCAACUGUUGAUGGGAAAGUCUGUACUGUUUUCAAAUCAUCCAAAAAACUGCAGGCCUCUCUAGCCUCAGCCAAGGUGAAUAAGAAAGAGACUGGGCAAUAUCAAAAAUGAGAGUCAUAGGAGGCAAGGCGAAAACAGCUGCUAACAAUGAAAAACCUAAUUUCUUGUCUCACAUUUGAAAAAAAAAGCACCUGGAUGAUCCCCAAGCCUUUUUGGAUGAUGUUAUUUGGACACAUGAGUCAAAAGUGUAACUUUUUGGAUGAAAUGGGUCCUACUAUAUCUGGCAUAAAACAAAUACAGCAUUUCACAGUACAAACACCAUACCAACAGUCAAACGUGGUAGUACUGCGAUCGUGUGGGGAUGCUGUGCUGCCUGAAGACCUGGAUGACUUGCCAUUAUUGAAGGAACCAUGAAUUCUGCUCUGUACCAGAACAUUUUUUGGGAGAAAGUCCAGUCAUCUGUCUGUGAGCUGAAGCUGACGCAUAGUUAAAUUAUGCAGCAAGUCAGUGAUCCAGAACACAAAAGCAAGUUCACGUCUGGCUGACUGUAAAGAAACAAAAUUAAAGUUUUGGAUUGGCUUAUUCAAAGUCCUGACUUGAACCCAACAGAGAUGCUAUGGCAGGACCUGAAAUGAGUGGUUCAUGCACAAGAAUGUACCAAUGUGCCUGAAUUAAAGCAGUUCUGUAAAGAGUAGUGGGCUAAAACUCCUCCACAGUGAUGUGAACGACAGAUAUCAAAUUAUAGGAAGCGUUUAGUUGCAGUUAUUUAUGCUAAAGGUGGUGUAAUCAGUGAAGAGGUUUAAAGAGGAUAUCAUUAUUUCACACGAGUGAUAUGGGUGUUUAGUAACUUUUUUAAGUAAAUAAAUGACAUUAUAUUAAAAAUGUGUUUUGUGUUAACUGGGGUUCCCUUUGUUUUAUAUUACAGUUUAUCGUAAGAUGUGAAACCAUUCAUUGUUACAAAUAUGCAAUAAUAGAGGAAAUCAGGAAGGGGUUUUGAGUGAUGCGACCACCAUAACUCAGAAAAAGGCUGUUGUACAGAGGGAAGGAGACAGCGUUCACAUAAAGUGUGAACAGGAUGGCAAUGACCAACAAAUGUACUGGUACAGGCAGGGCCAUCAAAACGGCCUGGAGCUUAUCUUCUUCUCACCGAUGGAUGGUCUGAACACAGAGAAGCUUGUGGUUGAGAACAGAUUCACAGCCACCAGAGAGAACAGACAGCGUUUCCAUCUAAACGUAACCAAGCUGCAACCUCAAGACUCAGCUGUGUACUUCUGUGCCUCCAGUUUACACAGUGCCCAAAAGUAAUGUGUUGCCAAUGCCAAAACCAUCGGAGAUCUGGCCGCUAGAGGCCAGUAUCACUGAAGGUAUUGCACUAAAUUAUGUCCUUUGUAUUUAUUUGUUCGCUCGUUCCAUUUACUCUUGGUAAGAUGAAAGCAAGACUCCACAUAUAUGCACAUUUCUUCUAAAGCUCACACUGCUUUAGUAUGCCUUGAAGUCAGAACACAACGUGUUUUAGUGGGGAAAAACAAAAUAAAAUAUAAGAGAGGAAAACAACUUUACCAGCUGUUUUAGCACUGGCCUAAAAAAGGCAUUGCCCAUUUACAGAAAUACCUUUGCCCCUGUAAAACCAGCCUUGAUCAGCUAGACCAACUGUUGAUGUGAAAGUCUGGAUUGUUUUCAGAUCAUCAAAAAAAUUUGCAGGCCUCUCUAAACUCAACUAAGGUGAGUUUUCAUGACUCCACAAUUAGAAAGAGACUGGGCAAUUUAAAAAAUGAGAGCCAUAUGAGGCAAGGCUAAAACAGCUGCUAACCAAGAAAAACAUAAUUUCUUGUCUCACAUUUGCAAAAAAGCACCUGGAUGAUCCCCAAGCCUUUUGGGAUGUUAUUUGGACAGAUGAGUCGAAAGUGUACCUUUUUGGAUGAAAUGGGUCCUACUAUAUCUGGCAUUAAACAAAUACAGCAUUUCACAGUACAAACACCAUACCAACAGUCAAACGGGGUGGUACUGCGAUCGUGUGGGGAUGCUGUGCUGCCUGAAGACCUGGAUGACUUGCCAUUAUUGAAGGAACCAUGAAUUCUGCUCUGUACCAGAAAAUUAUUCGGCAGUCCAGUCAUCUGUCUGUGAGCUGAAGCUGAAGCAUAGUUAAAUUAUGCAGCAAGUCAAUGAUCCAGAACACAGUGAUAUGGGUGUUUGGUAACUUUUAAUUAAAUAAAUGACAUUAUAUUAAAAAUGUGUUUUGUGUUAACUCGGUUUCCCUUUGUCUUAUAUUUCAGUUUGUCUAAAGAUGUGAAACCAUUCAUUGUUACAAAUAUGCAGUAAUAGAGGAAAUCAGGAAGGGGUACUAUACCUGCGCGAAGACGGACUGGAAGGGCAGGUUUGUUAUUGUUCAUAAAGCUGACCCGCUGAAAUGGUGCGAGCCGAAAGGCGACGACAACGUCACACAGAAGCAGGAGCUGAUGGAGCGCUCUCAGGGAUUCAUUGUUCAAUCUCAGGUUAUAGGCAUAGCUCUGCUCUUGCCUACAUGUUUGGGACUCAUCGUGUAUGGGAUCCGACAAUGCCGCAUGAAAAAAGAAGCAAACCAGGAUACAGACAGUUGUGAGAUGACCUGAAUUGUCCUGCUGCCUUUCAUCUUUGCCUAUUAAGUCACAUUUGGAGGUUUUCUUUAUCACUGCUGUACAGAAAACUUGCAAAAUUAUCUUCAUUUAUUACGUAUCAUCACUGUUUUGUAAAUUCUUAAGGGAACCUUUUCUCUUUUUUUAUGAACAACUCUGCUCUGACUUUUAAUGGACUGAUUUCAUGGAUUUUACUUCAGAAUGAUUGUAAUUUGAUUGUAAUUUCAGAAUAUAUGUUAAAUGAUUACAUUUUAAAACACCUUUUUACUUUCUAGCAAAGCCAGAGUAUACUGUAUUGGCUUUGUGAAUUUUUUGUCUGAAUAAUGUAUGAAAAAACUUGAAAUAUAUCUCAUUAUUAUACUAAGGUUCAUCUGAUUCCCUUGAUUAGGGUUAUUGAAGAGUCACUAUCAAAUAAAAAGUGCCUGUCUUGA